rnacentral:rRNA from 1 species
AUGGCCAUACCAUGCUGAACAUACCGGUUCUCGUUAGAUCACUGAAGUCAAGCAUCAUUGGGCGCGGUCAGUACUUGGGUGGGUGACCACCUGGGAGCACCGCGUGACGU